UUUUUGCAAGCGCAGAGGGUCAGUGUGACAGUUUCUGUAUCUCAGCUCUUGUCUCACCUCCCAGAAGAAUCAGGUCACACAUGGACUUGAAGGAUGACGGGCCUGUCUAAUUGCAGGAAAACAAACUCAGGGCUCCCACUGAUUCUACAUUACGAUAAAUACCUGGAGUGGGAUUGCUAGAUCACAUGGAAAACACAGAUCCUGGUGCCGAACAUGAGGACAGGGCAGGCCGAAGGAGAAAGUGGAAGGAGGGGAGCUUCUCUCUCAGCCUCAUCCUUCUGGGCCUGGAUGCUGGAGAGUCAUGAGGUGCUUCAGAGUACUCUGGGUGAGGAGGGAAAGAUGGUGCCCACCACAUGGAGGCCAGCCUAGGUCUUGUAUGAAACCUGUGAGGCCAGCAGGAGCCAGGCCGUGGCCUGCUGACUGCAUCUGCCAGAUGACUACCAAUGUGUGAGUAAACCCAUUCUCAAGCCCAAGAGAACCUCUCAGCUGAACCAGGCCCAAGUUGCUCACCCACUGAACUGCCAGUUAAAUAAAUGGUGG
ensembl:lncRNA ZBED3-AS1 ZBED3 antisense RNA 1